UAUUCAGUGGGGAAGCAGCAGGGACUCGGAGGUUCGCUGGGGCUGCUCGGGUGGUACGGGGAGCUCCUGUCCCUUGGCACUUGCCGGCAGUACAACAUGCCGUAGUAACACAAGAAGAAUUAAGUUGCUCAGAUGCACGCCAGCGCGUAGAAACAACUGUCUGUACAGUCACCGUGCCUCGGCCAGCGUACCUGUCUGCUGCACGCCCUGCACACGGGUAGCUGUUGUUAUGCUCGUGACUUGGCAUUCACUGCUGCCCUUUGUGAGUCUGCUCGGGAGGCAUGGAUCCCUAUCCUCUUGUGAUUCUUUGAAAAGAUGGGCUAUUUCAAAGUAACCGUCAAGACGGAGACUUUUCUUAAUUGGUCACCGAGAUUUUCGGCUCGUAGCCUGCAGCUGCCGUGGGGAUAUCAUUUCGUCACUGUGGGAGCGAAGGCGAUCGAGCUGAGGGCACACGGGAGAGGCAGCCCGUGCGACUGUCAGCGUGAGGAGGAAUCAUGUUUGCGAGAGAAUGUCUCUGCUAAGGUGCCAUCCCCGCUCUGGAAAGCAGGUCCACACGUUCAGAUGUGAAGCUGGAAAUGAAACACAUCUGGAUAUCCAAAAAUGACAACAGACUUUUAUUUGCUAUUUUUGGUAUACAACAAAAGCUUUGUAUCUUGCUAAUUGAACAUAUGGGCUCUCAGUUGCUUUUUUCCCCCUGCUAAACUCCACUUUUCCAUGUGUCAUCAUACGAUUCCAACAUUUGAUCUGUCGAGUCCAUCUCGGCCAUGUGUUUGUUGUAAUCUGCUACACAUGUAGGCUUGUUUUCGUGUGCGUCCUGACCUCCAGUGAGAGCUGCAGUUGUUUCCAUCAUGGAUAGUGUUGAGGAGUUACACAUCCUUUUUAUCAGUGUAUUUGGCCACCGGCAGCUCCUCGCAGUGUGGAUCAGGGAUCCUGCCAAGCCUCUGAAAGCUCAGUGUUUAGGGUAGCCAUAUCUGUUUGUAUUGUGAUACCAGAUGCUGGUUUUUUUCAAUGUAACAGAAUAAGAAGGGAGAACUUCCCCAAAAUAGAAAAUAUCCACAUAAGUAAAAUCCAGCGUCUCACCGAGGGAAGCUGAGGGUCAGCGUUAGCUAGAGUUGGAGCGUGAGGAAGGGAUGGAGGUGGCUGGCUGGUUGACGGUCAUC